rnacentral:rRNA from 1 species
AUUGAACGCUGGCGGCAUGCUUUACACAUGCAAGUCGAACGGUAACAGGCCGCAAGGUGCUGACGAGUGGCGAACGGGUGAGUAAUGCAUCGGAACGUGCCCAGUCGUGGGGGAUAACUACUCGAAAGAGUAGCUCAUACCGCAUACGAUCUAUGGAUGAAAGCGGGGGACCGUAAGGCCUCGCGCGAUUGGAGCGGCCGAUGUCAGAUUAGGUAGUUGGUGGGGUAAAGGCUCACCAAGCCAACGAUCUGUAGCUGGUCUGAGAGGACGACCAGCCACACUGGAACUGAGACACGGCCCAGACUCCUACGGGAGGCAGCAGUGGGGAAUUUUGGACAAUGGGCGCAAGCCUGAUCCAGCAAUGCCGCGUGCAGGAAGAAGGCCUUCGGGUUGUAAACUGCUUUUGUACGGAACGAAACGGCGUGGGUUAAUACCCGGGGCUAAUGACGGUACCGAAAGAAUAAGCACCGGCUAACUACGUG